rnacentral:rRNA from 1 species
AUGGUUACUGCGCUCUGGCUCCGGCGUAGGGCGGCGCUCGCCGACAAGCUGGAGGAGUGGGAGCUCGAACACCCCCAGAGGAUUCCAUACGUCGAGCUCUACAAGGCGACCAAGGGGUUCAAGGAGAGCGGGCUUCUCGGCUCGGGCGGUUUCGGCCACGUGUACAAAGGCGUGCUCGGACGCCGUCGGUCCGGCUCCGGGUCCGGGUCCGGGUCCGGGUCCGGCGAGGAGGUGGCCAUCAAGCGGAUCUCCAGCGGCACCAAGCAAGGGAUGAGGGAGUUCGUGGCGGAGGUCUCGAGCCUGGGGCGGAUGCGGCACCGCAACCUGGUGGAGCUGCGCGGGUGGUGCAAGCACGGCCAGGACCUGCUCCUCGUCUACGACUUCAUGCCCAACAGCAGCCUCGACGCGCACCUGUUCGGCGGGGGCAACAAGGUGCUCGCGUGGGCGCAGCGGCUCAACGCCAUCCGGGGCGUGGCGCGCGGCCUGCUGUACCUGCACGAGGAGUGGGAGCACGUGGUGGUGCACCGCGACGUGAAGGCCAACAACGUGCUGCUCGGCGCCGACAUGGCCGCGAGGCUCGGCGACUUCGGCCUGGCGCGCCUCUACGAGCACGGCGCGGCCCCGGGCACCACGCGCGUGCCCGGCACCCUGGGGUACAUGGCCCCGGAGCUCACCGUGACCAGCCGCGCCACCACGGCCACCGACGUCUUCUCCUUCGGCGCGCUGCUGCUCGAGGUCGCGUGCGGCCGCCGGCCCGUCGAGCCGGGCGAGGCGGCGGACGUGGUCCUGGUGCGGUGGGUCCGGGACUGCGGGCUGGACGGCAACCUGCUGCGCGCCGUGGAUCCGAGGCUGGACGGGUGCUACGACGCCGGGGAGGCGAAGCUGGUGCUGUGGCUCGGCAUGGUGUGCAGCCAGGGCCGGCCUGAGGCCAGGCCCAGCAUGAGGCAGGUCUGCCAGUUUCUCGACGGCGAGGAGGUGCUGCCGGAGGACGCCGUGCUCGUGUUCUCGGAUCCCGACUCGUCCGUGACCCCUGGGUCGUCCGUGCUCUCGUCCAUGACCUGGUCCUCCUCCGGUGGCACCAUGUCCGUCGGCUCGCUGCAUGGCGGUCGGUGA